AAUUUAGUUAGUAUACUUUGAAUAUAUAAUUUUAUACAGAGUUUUGUUGAAUACUAAUUUUUUUAUAUUCUAAACUUUUAUAUGCAUCUAAUAACUUGCUAUACUUUUGAUUUUUUAUUAUAAAUUCAGCUAGGUAAUUCAAAAUUCCAUGAUAUUCUGAACAUUAUUGAUUCGGCAGUAAAGUCAACUCGGAUUGCAACGGUAAAAUUUGAAUCUUUUUGUAUGUAUCAAAUAUUUUAAUAUAAAACGUUUGUGUAUGAUGGGGAAAAGAUAUUAUUUUAUAUGCUUUUAUAUGCAUCGAAUAACUCGCUGUAAUUUUAUUUUAUUAUUAUGAAUUUGUAAUAAACUGAUCCUAUAGCAACCACUAUAUCAGUUUGGAUGGCUAUGGGAGAUGAUGUAAAUUGGAUACCUGAUCCAAUUGCUCUCCUGUGAAGCUGGAUGAUGCUGAGGAUGAGUAGAAUUGGAGAUGAUGGGAAGUGGCUCCACCUUCCAAUUCAAUUGGUCAUCAGCUUGACGGGAAUGAGAUGAGUAGGAUCCGGGGAUAGAGAGGAGCUUGAGAGAAGAAGAGAGAGGAGUUCGAGUGGAGGAGAAGAAGGGGGAUCGAGAGGAGAAGAAGAGAAGAGAGAUAAUUGGGGAAAAGGGAUUUUAUUCAAUUCUCUGCUUGAUUCAUUACAUUGUUAGCUUGCUAUUUAUACUCCACUCAUUACAAGGACCAGAUUGUAAGAGUUACAAUGGACAGGGAUAUGAAUGUAAUUGUAUUUAAACUACAUGAGCCAUAGUGGGUUCAAUUCUGUCUCACGCUGGAUCCCUCACUUGGGCCGGCCCACACAUAGUUCAACCCGCAUCCGAAGCUAAAUGCGGGUUCGAGUCCUGUCGUCACAGUGAGGAGGUGCGAACCCGGCACCCGAACCGACCCUUCCCCAUUGAUCGCACCGCUGCGGCUUCGGAGGCGGAUUGAGUGAGGCUACAGUGAGGAAGCACGAGCCCAAAACCCGAAUAGCCUUCUUCUUUACCAAGCGUGUCGCCGCCAUUGCUUCUCUUGCCAUAGAUCCUCUAUUGUCUCCUCUGGUACCUCCAUUUUCUCCUACUCCUACGCUUCUCCCCUCGCGGUCAUGGUAGCACCAUGACAAUCCCUUCCCCUCAAAAACUUCCUUGUCCUCAAGGAUCAACUCCGGGGAACUGGGACUUGAGGAAUUGAUAAUCCUCCUAAGUCGCCGAUUCCUCCGGCAAGUUGCUCCAUUUGACGAGCACUUGAGUAGCAGCCUUGUUGCCCCGUCGAACCAUCCGUCGGUCCAGAAUGCUCUCUGGUUCCGCCAGUAGCUGUCCCUCUUCGCCGACCAAUGGUACGGUAGGCGAAACAGGUCUCCCCGCUGUUGGACUCCUCUUGAGAAGGGACACGUGAAAUACAGGAUGAAUUUUUGACCCUUCUGGGAGUCGUAAGCGGUAGGCGACCAUUCCGGUUUUCUCUAAAACUUCGAAUGGCCCGUAAUAUCUUGAGGUGAGUUUCACAUUCUUUCUUAUGGCGACUGUGAGCUGACAGUAGGGUUGCAAUUUGAGAUAUACAAAGUCGCCAACUUGGAACUCGCGGUCGACCCUGCGUCGGUGAGCGAACUGCUUCAUGCGGUUUUGAGCCAGUUGUAGAUGCUCCUUGAACUCGCGGGUCAACCUUUCUCUUUCCUUUCCCCAAUCCUGAAGUACUCCCACUGAGCUUCUAGAUAGGUUGUCUGUCGUGUAGUUGGGUGGCGGUUUUUCGUAAAGAGCAUGAUAAGGAGUUGUUCCCAGGGAAGUAUGAUGGUUGGUAUUAUACCACCAUUUUGCAUGUGCCAGCCACUGAUGCCAUUUCCUCGGAUGUUGGAAACAUAGGCACCUGAGGUAGGUCUCCAAACACCUAUUUAGUCGCUCAGUCUGCCCGUCUGUUUGGGGAUGGUAAGCGGUGCUCAUGUGCAGUUUGGUACCCAAUAAUCGGAAUAGCUCUUGCCAUAACUGACUUGUGAAAACCCGAUCUCGAUCUGAAACUAUUAUCUCUGGUAGCCCAUGCAGACGGUAGAUUGUAUCAAAGAAAGCUCGGGCCACUUCUAUGGUAGUAUAAGAGUGAGUCAACGCAAUGAAGUGUCCAUAUUUAGUCAAUCUAUCUACUACCACCAAAAUCGAGUCUUUUCCGUCCGACUUGGGUAACCCUUCUAUAAAGUCCAUGCUGAUCUCACUCCAGGUCCGUGUCGGAAUGGGUAAAGGUUGAAGUAAUCCAGCGUACUUAGAGUUGUCCGAUUUGUUUUUAAUGCAGACUUCGCACUCUUCUACCAACUUCUUCACAUCCUCUCUUAACUUCGGCCAAUAGAAUACCUGCUUAAUUCUCUUAUAAGUAUAGUGCCUUCCUGAAUGACCUCCUAGAGGGGAAUCAUGCAUUUCUUUUAAAAUCUUUUUCUUCAACUUCUCAUCACCUCCAAUGUACAGUCGACCCUUGUAUCUAAUAAGUCCUUGCUGAUAAGUGAAAGGUUGUUGAUCUGUGGGUUGUAUAAUGAGACUGGCAGUUAACUUCUUGCAGUGGUCAUCCUUUUCGUAGCUCUUGAUCACUUCUGAUACCCAAUCGGGUAGAACUCUUGUGAUUGCUUGUACUUCUCCUUCCUCAAACCCUCUCCUGGAUAGCGCGUCGGCUGCUCGAUUUUCUUUCCCCUUCCUGUAUUGUAUGACAUAAUCCAAGCCCAUAAGCUUGAGCAUCCCUUUUUGCUGGAUCGCGGUGUUAAUCUUUUGUUCCAGUAGAAAUUUCAGGCUUUCAUGGUCCGUCUUUAUAAUAAAGGGUUUUAAGCUGAGGUAAUGGCGCCAUUUCGUCAUCGCCAUUAAAAUAGUAAGGAACUCCUUCUCAUAAGUUGAGAGUCCCAGAUUCUUCUUACUGAUUGUUUUGCUCAUAUAGGCGAUAGGUCUUCCCCCUUGUGCCAAAACUGCCCCGAUUCCUUGGCCGCUAGCGUCAGCUUCCACUUCGAAGGGCUUUGAAUAGUCGGGCAUGGCUAGAACAGGGGCUUCCGUCAUUGCUUUCUUUAACCCUUUGAAUGCAAGGGUGGCUUCCUCGCUCCAUUUAAAGCUACCCUUCUUCAAGAGCUCCGUGAGAGGCUUACUGAUUACUCCAUAUCCUUUAACGAACUUCCUGUAAUAGCCCGUAAGCCCUAAGAACCCUCUCAACUCCUUAAUAGAUCUGGGCAGUGGCCAUUGGAGCAUUGCUUCUAUUUUGCUGGGAUCAGUCGAUACUCCUUUUCCGGUGAGGACAUAGCCUAGAUAAUCAACCUGUCUUUGUCCAAAGAAACAUUUGGAUCGUUUGGCACAUAAUUGGUUAGUCCUGAGCACUCCCAACACUCGUUUUAAGUGUUCCGCGUGCUCCUCCAAAGUCUGACUAUAUAUCAAAAUAUCAUCAAAGAAAACUAAAAUAAACCUCCUCAAAAACUGGUCAAAGAUCUCAUUCAUUAUGGCUUGGAACGUGGCCGACGCGUUAGUAAGUCCGAAGGGCAUGACUCUGAACUCAUAAUGGCCGACAUGUGUGCGGAAGGCUGUUUUCGAUAUGUCGUUUGGGUGCAUUCGGAUUUGAUGAUACCCUGACCUCAAAUCAAUCUUAGAGAAAUAUUUAGCCCCUCCCAGUUCGUCUAAUAAGUCUUCGAUAAUUGGAAUUGGGUAUUUGUCCUUCACCGUGAGUUUAUUCAAUUGCCGAUAGUCGACGCAAAACCUCCAGGUCCCGUCCUUCUUCCUGACCAAGAGAACAGGUGAGGCGUAGGGGCUAUGGCUGGGUUGAAUAAUUCCUGUGUUCAGCAUCUCUCGAAUCUGCCUCUCCAUCUCAUUCUUUUGUUCAAAAGUGUAUCUAUAAGGUCUGAUAUUAACUGGUUGAGAAUCAGGCAGCAGCGUUAUUUUGUGAUCCUGGUUUGUAGUCAGAGGCAACCCUUGAGGCUCUUGGAAUAUAUCCCAAUACUCUUGCAAAACCAUUUGAAUAGUCUCAGGUAUGUGUUCCUCCUUCCCUUCCUCUGGAGGUAUCCACUGUGCCACUGCAUAGCAACUGCCCUCUUGAAGUUCAUGCUGUAACUGUUUGGCUGUAAUGUUUCGCAAUCCUGCCUUGUAAGGCAUCCCUUUUAAGUGGAUUUUCUUGUCACCCUUUGUAAUGAUAACCGUGUUAAUUUCAUAAUCGAAGGUGACUGGACCAUGCACUCUCAACCAGUCAAUCCCUAAGAUCAUGCUAGACCCUUCAAGCCGUAUCACUCGCAGGUCUGCCGAAUACUUUUCACUUUGCAUUUCCCAGACAUAAUUGGUGCAUUUGAGCUUACUCAACACCUUUUGACCAUUAGCUACUGUUACCAAGAGUGGUGUAGUAGUUGCAAUGUCAGCCUUGGUCUCUUUAGCUACCCCAAUGUCAAUAAAACUAUGAGUGCUCCCAGUGUCCACAAGGAUGGAUAAAGUCUUACCCUUGUUCUCUCCUUGUAUUUUUAUGGUAUCUUGGCUAUCCUCAGCACUCAAGGCGUGAACUGAUAACCCCAAUUCUUCUUCUUCUUCAACUUCAAUCCUCUUUUCUCCUUCUAUCUCCUGCAAACUGAUCUCAUCAUAUACUUCUGUCACCCCUGGGUUUGCUUGUAUGGCAUUCAUUGCUUGCGGCUUACAGGUAUGGCCAAGACUGUACUUAUCCCCACAUUUGAAACAGAGACCAGCGGCUCUUCUCUGCUCGAUUAAUUGCCGGUUAGGGAAUGCUUUCUCUGUAGUGAACUUGGGUUGGUUCCUGGCGGUGUCGGAGUACCUUCCAGAUGUUGCCGAACCCAUUCCCUUGUAGUUGCUUGGAGAAUUGGUGAUCCCUUGUAAUCGAAGCAUUUGUUUACUCUUUUUCAUCAUUGCUGCUAUGGUCUGUUCUUGUAGUUUGGCUUGUUCGAAUGCCUGAGUCAAGGUUCGUGGAUAUAACAUCUUGACAGCAGAUCUGAUCUCAUCUUUUAGUCCACUCAGGAAGCUCGAGAGGAAAUAGUCCACGGAGAAUUGAGAAUCAGUAGUAAGCAGUCGUGCCUUUAAAUCCUCAAAUUGCUCUUGAUACUCCUCCACUGUCCCUGUUUGCACCAGUUUGUUAAAUUCCUCCACGACGUCCACCGAUCCUCUCGUAUCAAACCGCCUGCAGAUUUCUUCGAAAAAAUCUGCCCAAUGGACCAUCCGCUUUUCUGCUAAAUACCCUUGAAACCAGGUAUCAGCCUUAUCAUCCAAGUGCAUGGCUACUAACUCCAUUUUCUGAUGUUCCUUAAUACUAUAGAAUUCAAAAUAUCUCUCACACUUUCUCACCCAACUUCUCGGAUUGUCAUUCAUGAAUAUAGGAAAUUCUAACUUGGGAAAUGGAAAUUGGAACCCUGAUCGAUUUAUGGUAGGUUGUAUAUGAUUAUCUUCCUUUGUGUGAGAAAUAGGUGGGGUUGGCAAUAUACCUCGUUCAUCUAUACUAAUUGAAGAUGUAGCUCCUCUGAUGGAUGUAGUCUGUGGUAUGUUCACCAAUAGAUCCAUAAUCUGUUCAAGCUUCUUUGAGGUGUUUGCAGAGUCCUUCUUCCAAUCAUCAUAAUGAGAUUGUCCUUCCAUACGUAUCGCCUCCAUACGACUUGUAAGUGAUUCAAAUUUCCUCUCAGUCCCUGCCGCUAACUCUUGCAUUUGUUGCUCCAGUGCAUGAACGUGUUCAUCAAGCAACUUCAAACGGGUUCCUUCGGCCAUUGUUUUGCUAAUAAAUUUGAACCGGUUACCUUUUGCAGACCCAAUUUUGCUCAAUCUCUGGCGGGAUCCACCUGCAAGAAGGUUGCAGGCACCAGGUGGGAACUUCGAACCGAUGGCGGGCGUUUAAUUUCCCUGCCAAUUCUGGGAGUUCAAGAACCGGAAAGGUUCUUACGGCGGCCCCCUUUGUCCAGGAUCACCCAGAGGCGACCCUAGCAGCACGGGUAGCUGCGUCGACGUCGGAUUCAACAGUUUGCAAAGCCGGAGUCCUUGCGACUGCGCCGUACCGAUCCCUGGGAUUGAAACCGCUCUGAUACCAGAUUGUAAUAAACUGAUCCUAUAGCAACCACUAUAUCAGUUUGGAUGGCUAUGGGAGAUGAUGUAAAUUGGAUACCUGAUCCAAUUGCUCUCCUGUGAAGCUGGAUGAUGCUGAGGAUGAGUAGAAUUGGAGAUGAUGGGAAGUGGCUCCACCUUCCAAUUCAAUUGGUCAUCAGCUUGACGGGAAUGAGAUGAGUAGGAUCCGGGGAUAGAGAGGAGCUUGAGAGAAGAAGAGAGAGGAGUUUGAGUGGAGGAGAAGAAGGGGGAUCGAGAGGAGAAGAAGAGAAGAGAGAUAAUUGGGGAAAAGGGAUUUUAUUCAAUUCUCUGCUUGAUUCAUUACAUUGUUAGCUUGCUAUUUA
rnacentral:lncRNA from 1 species